rnacentral:snRNA from 1 species
ACACUCUAAUUUCUCUUCAUGUUGCAAAAAUCUUUUGCCUUUUACUAAAGAUUUCCAUGGAGAGAAUGAGUUUGAGGAUGCUAAUUUGCAGCGGCACAUGGAAUCAUUAGACAUACUAUGGGAUAUA